rnacentral:rRNA from 1 species
UGCCCUUGAGGCGUGGCUUCCGGAGCUAACGCGUUAAGUAGACCGCCUGGGGAGUACGGCCGCAAGGUUAAAACUCAAAUGAAUUGACGGGGGCCCGCACAAGCGGUGGAGCAUGUGGUUUAAUUCGAUGCAACGCGAAGAACCUUACCUGGUCUUGACAUCCACAGAAGAAUCCAGAGAUGGAUUUGUGCCUUCGGGAACUGUGAGACAGGUGCUGCAUGGCUGUCGUCAGCUCGUGUUGUGAAAUGUUGGGUUAAGUCCCGCAACGAGCGCAACCCUUAUCCUUUGUUGCCAGCGGUUAGGCCGGGAACUCAAAGGAGACUGCCAGUGAUAAACUGGAGGAAGGUGGGGAUGACGUCAAGUCAUCAUGGCCCUUACGACCAGGGCUACACACGUGCUACAAUGGCGCAUACAAAGAGAAGCGACCUCGCGAGAGCAAGCGGACCUCAUAAAGUGCGUCGUAGUCCGGAUUGGAGUCUGCAACUCGACUCCAUGAAGUCGGAAUCGCUAGUAAUCGUGGAUCAGAAUGCCACGGUGAAUACGUUCCCGGGCCUUGUACACACCGCCCGUCACACCAUGGGAGUGGGUUGCAAAAGAAGUAGGUAGCUUAACCUUCGGGAGGGCGCUUACCACUUUGUGAUUCAUGACUGGGGUGAAGUCGUAACAAGGUAACCGUAGGGGAACCUGCGGUUGGA